rfam:Heligmosomoides polygyrus genome assembly, scaffold: HPBE_scaffold0014833
ACGCUGGUGGUGUAAGGUGAACAUCGCUGCUCGGAAAGCAGAAGGUACGGGUUCGAGUCCCGCCUGGCACA